ACUGCGGGAGGCAGCAGUGGGGGAUAUUGCACAAUGGGGGGAACCCUGAUGCAGCGACGCCGCGUGGGUGAAGAAGCGCCUCGGCGCGUAAAGCCCUGUCAGCAGGGAAGAAAAUGACGGUACCUGAAGAAGAAGCCCCGGCUCACUACGUGCCAGCAGCCGCGGUAAUAAGUAGGGGGCAAGCGUUAUCCGGAUUUACUGGGUGUAAAGGGGGCGCAGACGGCGAUGCAAGCGAGGAGUGAAAUCCCGGGGCCCAACCCCGGGACUGCUCUUGGAACUGCGUGGCUGGAGUGCAGGAGGGGCAGGCGGAAUUCCUGGUGUAGCGGUGAAAUGCGUAGAUAUCAGGAGGAACACCGGUGGCGAAGGCGGCCUGCUGGACUGCAACUGACGUUGAGGCCCGAAAGCGUGGGGAGCAAACAGGAUUAGAUACCCGAGUAGUC
rnacentral:rRNA from 1 species